UACAGAGGGUGCGAGCGUUGUUCGGAAUUAUUGGGCGUAAAGGGCGCGUAGGCGGUGCGGUAAGUCUGUAGUGAAAUCUCUGGGCUCAACUCAGAGUCUGCUGCAGAAACUGCCGUGCUUGAGUGUGGGAGAGGUGAGUGGAAUUCCCGGUGUAGCGGUGGAAUGCGUAGAUAUCGGGAGGAACACCUGUGGCGAAAGCGGCUCGCUGGACCACAACUGACGCUGAGGCGCGAAAGCUAGGGGAGCAAACAGG
rnacentral:rRNA from 1 species